rnacentral:rRNA from 1 species
UUUGGUCCAUAUCCUGUGUAGGCGUUUAGAGCAUUGAAAGGAUCUCCCCUUUGUACGAGAGGACCAGGUGGGGACAGACCGCUAGUGUACCAGUUAUCCCACCAGGGGUAAACGCUGGGUAGCUAUGUCUGGAGUAAAUAACUGCUGAAAGCAUAUAAGUAGGAAGUUCACCUUAAGAUGAGUGCUCUUUUGUCUCAACCGUUCAGUUUUACUGACAAAUGAAAGACAAGGAAGGUCACGGCAAGACGAGCCGUUUGAUAGGCAUGAAGUAGAAGUGCAGUAAUGCAUUCUGAAGCUGACAUGUGCUAAUAGACCGAGGGAUUUGAUUUU